GAGAGCACAAUACAAUGAAAGUUGUAAGUUGUGUUCGAGGAGGAGUAUUGUCUAUCAUUGUCCUCUAU
rnacentral:ncRNA from 1 species